UCCCGGCUUGCACCAACUGAA
rnacentral:miRNA from 1 species